rnacentral:rRNA from 1 species
AGUGAACGCUGGCGGUAGGCCUAACACAUGCAAGUCGAACGGCAGCACAGUAAGAGCUUGCUCUUACGGGUGGCGAGUGGCGGACGGGUGAGGAAUACAUCGGAAUCUACUUUUUCGUGGGGGAUAACGUAGGGAAACUUACGCUAAUACCGCAUACGACCUACGGGUGAAAGCAGGGGAUCUUCGGACCUUGCGCGAUUGUAUGAGCCGAUGUCGGAUUAGCUAGUUGGCGGGGUAAAGGCCCACCAAGGCGACGAUCCGUAGCUGGUCUGAGAGGAUGAUCAGCCACACUGGAACUGAGACACGGUCCAGACUCCUACGGGAGGCAGCAGUGGGGAAUAUUGGACAAUGGGCGCAAGCCUGAUCCAGCCAUACCGCGUGAGUGAAGAAGGCCUUCGGGUUGUAAAGCCCUUUUGUUGUGAAAGAAAAGCAGCAGGUUAAUACCCCGCUGUUCUGACGGUACCCAAAGAAUAAGCACCGGCUAACUUCGUG